GAGGGUAUAGCUCAGUGGUAAAGCAUUCGACUGCAGAUCGAGGGGUCCCCGAUUCAAUCCCGGGAGUCCUCU